rnacentral:rRNA from 1 species
UCCGGUAGGUGAACUGCGGAAGGAUCAUUA